CCACAAAGCCUCAUUUUCAUCAGCAUUAUAUUCUAAAAUUCAGCGUAAAUGUCUAUAGAAAAGACUGAGUGUCGUCUCACUCGAGUAUUCACCACUCAGAUGACUUGAAUUUAAUAAUGUGUAAAACUAUUUGAUGUUGUCAUUAUUAGGCUCAUUUUGAAUGUCCAUAUUCCACCUUUGGAAACACCAGCACUUCCCCAGAAACUAUCAAGGUCAUCUCUGUUUGGAAGCUCCUUGCCCAAAGGAAGGGAUGGCACUCAAUAGAGCCAAGACAACCUAAUAAAAGGUCAAACAUUGCCCUCUUCUGGCAAGACAUAUUACUGUCACCCGGUGGUGGAAUUGUAAAAAAAAAAAUCACGGGGGAUGGUGUGAUCAAUUUCUUUGGGGUGGUGGGGGGGUUAUUGUUUGUGGUUUGUCCCUUAGCUAAUUUUACACAAUGAAUACAAAAUUUGUCCGAACUGCUCCCCGGGCGCUGCAGCAUAAAUGGCUGCCCACUGCACCAGGUGUAUGUGUGUUCACUGCUGUGUGUGUGCACUUUGGAUGGGUUAAAUGAAGAGCACGAAUUCUGAGUAUGGGUCACCAUACUUGGCUGUAUGUCACUUCACUUUCACUUAAUUGUAACUUGCUCAUGUUAUUGUUCUUUGUGGAUUGUAACAGUACACUCUGUACGUGGCUUUAGGUCUUAGAUUUGAUUUUACAAGUUAAAGUUAAAGAAGUUAUUUGAACAUACACACAUGAUUAUUGUGCGUAUAAUAAUAUUAGUAUUAUUUUCAGGAUGACAUGUCGUCUGAUCAGGAGGUGGUGGUGUGCUGUUCUCCUGGACAACUUCACUCCACAAAUGUAUGUAGCUGUUUGAAUGUUCCUACAUUAAACAUUAGUCUGUACUAUAUCUACCAAUAUACCUACCUCUUGUCAUUUAUUCUUUUAGCUCUCAACCACGAAGGUGGGGCUUCACCAUCAAAAGACAAUGUCUUUAGGCAGAGUCCAGCGAAGCAGAGUAUGCAGUUGUGACAACAAUCUAUCAGGUUUGUCUAAACCAAGGUUGUAUGUAGUCAGUGUUUAUAUAAUGUUUAAUAACAUUUAUAUUCAAGUAUGGAAAUCUUUUCUGAAAUCCUCAGUGAAGUUAUUUUGUCAGCGGGGUAACUGUGCAUAUUUGACACUUUCUCUGGUAUGCAGAUGGUUUAGGGAUGUGGUCACUCAAGAAGUUUUUCGGAAAGCAGCACACUUUGCCUGUUUAGACAGUAAGAACCCACCCCCCUGCACAUUCAGUGCACAUUCUCUAAUUGAAUUUUCUAGUAUGAGGCUGUUAAACUUUUUAUUUAUCUUUCCUGUAUUUUGUCUUUACACUAUAAGGUGUGGCCAACUGGAAGAAUUUCACUCCCAUCUACCGGAAAGAGUUCAGAUGCAUGUACAGCUUCAGGGAAUGCUUGCAGUGCAGAACCCUUUUCCAGUCAUACCCACCAGAGUAUAGGGGAAGAGGCCGACAUGGUGAACUUCUGGGCUUUUACUCAGAUGUUUACACAGGAUUUUGCUCCCAGAACUGUUUUUGCGGCAGGAAAAACAUUGGUGUCUUAAGUUCAUAGAAGGGAAAGAGAGAAUGAACUGAGAGCAACUGGUUUUGAUGUAUUAAUUGAUGUCAUUUAAAGUUAAACUUUGCAGUGUAUAGUGUUUUAAUAAAAAAGCUAUGGCAAACACGUGCAUGACAACAAGUUUCAGUCAUUUACAUCAGUCUAUCAUUAUUUAAGGUUUCCCAUUUAAUUAAUGAAUUCUUAAUUUAGUUGUGACAGCUCUGUGUAAUAUUUCAAUAACCAAUGAUUUUAAAAGUGUUUAAGCAGGUAACUUCAUAAAUUCAGGAUUAAUGAGGUUUUCAGUAAUGCAGUUCAGAUAACAAAUAACAGAAAAAGUGACAAGUGUUUUUGGGUUCCAGUUCUUUAGAAACUGUAUAGUUCCUUCCUUGCAAAAAGUAGCCAUGGUUUUACUGUAGUAAAAAUAUUUGUUGGCAUAUAUGGCAUAAUGUGAAUAUAUAAAUCAAGGUACAUCUACAUAACCAUACUUGCAUUAUAUUGCAGUGUCACUUACAAAAACCAGCAAAUAAAGCCGAGGUAGUGUCCAAUAUAGCCGUUGAGUGAGAAAUUGUAAAUUAGACCAUUUAUUUCUAUUCUGUUCAUUGUAAUCCACCACUCUUUGUAUUUCUACUUUCAUGGGAUGUUGUGGAAACGCAACAAUAAAUGCAAAAACACUACAUUUAUAUUCGCUUUUUAAUUUAUAUUAAAAGUUUAUUCGUCUGAAUGUCUACUUCCACAUUCCAAGCCUGCUCACAGUCAUAAUUCUCUACACCAAUAAGCUCAUUUUAAUCAUAAACCAAUAACUGUUCAGGUGGGCGGGGUGACACCUGUCGCCCUGCCCCAACGUGUCACCCCGUCCCAUCUUCCAAUCUGCACUCUGGCCUACUAUGCACCGGCUGGUUUAGGACUGUCAUGGAUAAAUAAAGAUGGCAAUAAAACCGCCUGUAGGUGGCAGCAAAUCCCUGUUUUAAUAUAUGAUUUAUUGAAUCAUUAAAACCAAACGAUUCGUUCAAAACGGCUGAUUCAAUUAGAAACAAAACAAGUAAAUGGACCAUUGAAUCACUGGCUCACAUGAUUUGUUCAAAAACAGAUUCAUUCAAGGAAUAAAAUGCGUUGCUCUACACUGUUCUAUACAAUAAAAAUACAUAAAAACUCAUACAUGGAUAUUUUUUCUUUCAUUGCUUGAAUUAUAAGGGCAUUCUAACUGCAUUCUAAUGGGCUUCAUCGCGCAGCGAAUGCUUCUUGACUCUCAAGAUGUUUUUUUUUUCUUAGAGUCUUAGAGUCUUAAAGUCGGUGAUACUCCUCAGCUCUCCUAUUGUCUCUCAGUCUCUCACAGUCACACAUACAGCACAAUGACAUUAUGUCAGGAGAAUGUCUUUAAAUUCUAAUCAAGGAAAAAUCAUACCUUCUGUUGUCUUCUUUUUAAAGAACUUCAAAAGUUCAAGCCCUG
ensembl:lncRNA